UGGUGGAGUGAUUUGUCUGGUUAAUUCCGUUAACGAACGAGACCUCGACCUGCUAAAUAGUAUGGUGAAUGCUCCGGCAUUUAUUUACGACUUCUUAGAGGGACUAUCGGUGAUUUAGCCGAUGGAAGUUCGAGGCAAUAACA
rnacentral:rRNA from 1 species